rnacentral:rRNA from 1 species
AUACGUAGGGGGCGAGCGUUGUCCGGAUUUAUUGGGUUUAAAGGGAGCGCAGGCGGAGAUGCAAGCGUGACGUCAAAUUUCGGGGCUCAACCCCGUCUCGCGUCGCGAACUGCGUCCCUUGGUUGCGGGAAGGGGAGGCGGAACUCGUGGUGUAGCGGUGAAAUGCAUAGAUAUCACGAAGAACUCCGAUCGCGAAGGCAGCCUUCCGGCCCGUCAACGACGCUCAUGCUCGAAGGUGCGGGUAUCAAACAGGAUUAGAUACCCUGGUAGUCCGCACAGUAAACGAUGGACACCCGCGGUUUGGCCUGUAUGGCUGAGCCGCCAAGCGAAAGCGUUAAGUGUCCCACCUGGGGAGUACGCCGGCAACGGUGAAACUUAAAGGAAUUGACGGGG